rnacentral:ribozyme from 1 species
UUUUCUAGCAAAGAUAGAGACCAGUUUGCAACCGCCGGUGCGGAUGGAUCGAUCCGGUUAUUUGAUCUACGGAGCUUGGAGUGCGCCAGUAUAAUUUACGAAGGGCCUGAAAACGCAUCGCAGC